rnacentral:rRNA from 1 species
AAUCAACGCUGGCGGCGUGCCUAACACAUGCAAGUCGAACGCGAAAGCCCCGAAAGGGGUGAGUAGAGUGGCAAACGGGUGAGUAACACGUGGGUGACCUGCCUUAGAGUGGGGAGUAACGUCCCGAAAGGGACGCUAAUACCGCAUAACAUCCUGCCUUUGAAGAGGUGGCGAUCAAAGCUGGGGACCGCAAGGCCUAGCGCUCAAAGAGGGGCCCGCGCCUGAUUAGCUAGUUGGGGGGUAAUGGCUCACCAAGGCAACGAUCAGUAUCCGGCCUGAGAGGGCGGACGGACACACUGGGACUGAGACACGGCCCAGACUCCUACGGGAGGCAGCAGUGGGGAAUUGUUCGCAAUGGGCGCAAGCCUGACGACGCAACGCCGCGUGGAGGAU